rnacentral:rRNA from 1 species
AGGACGAACGCUGGCGGCGUGCUUAAUACAUGCAAGUCGAACGAGAAGCCACUUCUCCGUAAGGAGAAGUGGUGGACAGUGGCGAACGGGUGAGUAACACGUGGGUAACGUGCCCUGGACUCUGGGAUAACAGUGGGAAACCGCUGCUAAUACCGGAUAACCCCUACCUGUCGCAUGAUAGGUAGGCAAAGCUCCGGCGGUCCGGGAUCGGCCCGCGGUGUAUCAGCUUGUGGUGGGUAACGCCUACAAGGCAGUGACGCAUAGCUGGCGUGAGAGCGCGACCAGCCACACUGGGACUGAGACACGGCCCAGACUCCUAGGGAGCAGCAGUAGGAAUCUGCGUCAAGUGGGCAAAGCCUGACGCAGCGACGCCGCGUGAGGGAUGAUCGUCCGUUCGGGUUAUAAACCUUC